CUGGAGCACCAUCCCCUCACACGUACCCAUUCCAGCCAGAACUCUGUUCCUCUGAGGAGAGCCUGUGCACCACGAGGGCUGUCCUGAGAAGAGACCUCCAUUUCCCAGUGAAUGGUGAGAUUGCCUCCAAGACCUCUGCAUCACUUCACAGCUCAGCUCUCAGUGACUCACAAUUUUCUGGAGCCCACAUCUCACACUGGCAGGAAAUUAUUCAGGUGUGGAGGCACAACAGCUCAGAGACACCAAAUGGCAUCUACAAGAACUCAAGCACUGACAGGACACAUCAAAGCACGAGAUUGAAGGCCAGUGCCUGCCAGCCCCUUGAUCCCUCCAGAGCUUGAAGAACGGAAUCCAGACUCUUUCAGCUUUUUCUAUGCAGCCAUGGGCUUGCUCUCUUUUCCCUUUCAAGGUAUUAUGAGUUUUAAAAAAAAAAAUUACCUGUGGGAGAAAUUUCAAGAGAAACCAGAUACUGAGCAGCAUCCCAGCACAGAAUGACUCCAAAUAGGAAGUUCCGUUCUCAGCUGCAGAAAGUAGGACCCGGUGGAAAGCAGCAGGAUUUCAGACAGGUCUGGAGCCCCCACCCUCC